AUAGCACCCAACUAAGCCUCUCCCAGAUUCCUGACUCUCAGAAAAUGUAAGAUAAUAGGUUUUUUUUUUUGGUUUUGUUGUUUCAAGCCUCAACGUUUUGGGGUUAUUUGCUAGGCAGAAAUAUAUCACUAAUAUCCUAUGUAGUUUCCUUUCUUGAUUCCAGCUGAUGAUGUGAUGUAGCUUGAGAGUUUCAUAGCUUGAACACAUUUGGGUGCCAAUCAUUGCAGUGGAGAGAUAAACUGAAUGACAAGGAGAUUCCAAGGAAGAACUAGGCACAGGACCUGUGUCUCUAGUUUUAAAACUCUAGGGACUUUUCCUGGUGGUCCAGUGGUUAAGACUCCCUGCUUCCAAUGCAAGGAAUGUGGUUCAAUCCCUCAUCAAAGAACUAAGAUCUCACAUGCUGUGAGGCCAAAAAUUAAAAAUAAAUAAAGUGUACAACUUGAAAAAAAAAUCACUCUAACUUGUGACAGAAGAGAACAAGAGUGGCAUCCAAGAAACUCCUAUUGGAACAGAACAAAUGAGGAACAAUGAGGGCUUGGACUAGAAUGGCAGCUUGUUGAAGAUGGAGGAAGCCAAAGGGUUGUACCAUUCAUUUUACACUCCCACCAGCAGAAUAUGAGAGAUCCAAGUUCUCCACAGCUUUUCCAACACUCAGAUCACUUUAAAUUUUAGAGGGAAGGUCCCGUAAGGGCAUGGCGAGAAGACAGACAUCUACAAGCCAGGAAGAAAAGUCUCUCCAGAAACCAACCCUGAUGGCACCUUGAUCUUGGAUUUCUAAGCUCCAGGACUGUAAGAAAAUAAAUAUCUGCUGUUUAAGACAUCCAGGCUCCAGGAUUUUAUUACAACAGCCUGAACAGACUAAUGUAAUCUUUCCCAACAAUUCUACUUCUCUUCACCCGACCCCUGCCCCUGGUCCUGAUUUUGUUCAGGCCUUUAUCUCCUCCAUAUUAUCUCUGAAUUCUCAAAUGCUGCUAAAAGAAUCCUUCCAAAGAGUAUACUCAAAAACUGACUAGGGAGAGGAGACACCAGUCCAUAUGUCCUACCAACCUCCCAGAAUCCUUCUUGCUGGAAUCAAUCUCGGCUGAGUAAUGCGUGAGCCACCAGGAAGGACCCUGAAUCAGAAUGAUUGGCCAGAGACAAUCUGGAAACUAGCCUUAUUACCAUAAAUCUGAGACUGCGAGCCAUGUGGCAAAGCAGUUCUCCUGGAUUUUCUUACCCAGCUGCUGUCUGCACAGUCACCUCUUCUCAACAAAGACUCUUUGCUUUGUCAGAAAAACAAAAAUAAAAUACAAAAAACCUGACUAGAACAUAGGACUAUCUUCUACAGCAGAAAAGACUCAGCUGAACACGAGACUCCUCUAAACUUGAUUCACCUGACUUUUUAGGUUUGUCUCCUGUCCUCCCACCACAUACCCUAUGCUCCAGCC
ensembl:lncRNA